AUUGAACGCUGGCGGCAGGCCUAACACAUGCAAGUCGAGCGAGCGGCGGACGGGUGAGUAAUGUAUGGGGACUGCCCGAUAGAGGGGGAUAACUACUGGAAACGGUAGCUAAUACCGCAUACUAUCGGAUAACCCAUAUGGUAUUAGCUAUUAGGUGAGGUAAGGGCUCACCUAGGCGACGUUCCCUAGCUGGUCUGAGAGGAUGAUCAGCCAAACUGGAGCUGAGACACGGCCCAGACUCCCACGGGGGAAGCAGUGGGGAAUAUUGCACAAUGGGCGAACGCAUGAUGCAGCCAUGCCGCGUGGAUGAAGAAGGCCCUAGGGGUGUAAAGUACUUUCAGUCGGGAGGCGUUACCGACAGAAGAAGCACCGGCUAACUCCGUGCCAGCCGCCGCGGUAUAC
rnacentral:rRNA from 1 species